rnacentral:rRNA from 1 species
UAGGGAAUAUUGCACAAUGGGCGAAAGCCUGAUGCAGCAACGCCGCGUGCGCGAUGACGGCCUUCGGGUUGUAAAGCGCUUUUCGGGGAGAUGAGGAAGGACAGUAUCCCCGGAAUAAGGCUCGGCUAACUACGUGCCAGCAGCCGCGGUAACACGUAGGAGCCAAGCGUUAUCCGAAUUCACUGGGCGUAAAGCGCGUGUAGGCGGCUUGGUAAGUUGGAUGUGAAAGCUCCUGGCUCAACUGGGAGAGGACGUUCAAUACUGCCGGGCUAGAGGGCGACAGAGGGAGGUGGAAUUCCCGGUGUAGUGGUGAAAUGCGUAGAUAUCGGGAGGAACACCAGUGGCGAGAGCGGCCUCCUGGGUCGCACCUGACGCUCAGACGCGAAAGCUAGGGG